GUCUCUGUAGUGCAAUGGAUAGCGCGUUGGACUUCUAAUCCAAAGGUCGUGGGUUCGAAUCUCACCUGUGAUA
rnacentral:tRNA from 1 species